GUGUGAAUGGGUGAGUUUGUGAACGAGUGGGCAAGUUAGUGUGUGAACGAGUGGGCAAGUUAGUGUGUGAACGAGUGGGCGAGUUAGUGUGAAUGAGUGGGCGAGUUACUGUAUGAAUGAGUGGGCGAGUUAGUGUGUGAAUGAGUAGGUGUGUGAAUGAGUGGGUGUGUGAACGAGUGGGUGAGUUUGUGAAUGAAUGGGUUAGUUUGUGAAUGAGUGGGUGGGUUAGUGUGUGAAUGAGUGGGUUAGUGUGUGAAUAAGUUGGGUUGUGUGAAUGAGUUAGUGUGUGAAUAAGUGGGUGGGUUAGUGUAUGAAUGAAUGGGUGAGUUUGUGAACGAGUGGGCAAGUUAGUGUGUGAGUGGGCGAGUUAGUGUGUGAAGCAGUGGGCAAGUUUGUGAAUGAGUGGGUGAGUUACUGUGUGAAUGAGUGGGCAUGUGAAUGAGUCGAUGAGUUAGUGUGUGAAUGGGUGUGUGAACGAGUGGCUGAGUUAGUGUGUGAAUGGGUUAGUGUGUGAAUGAGGGAUUUUGUGAAUGGGUGUGUGAACGAGUGGGUGAGUUAGUGUGUGAAUGAGUGGGUGUGUGAAUGAGUGGGUGAGUUGGUGUGUGAAAGAGUGGGUUAGUGCAUGAAUGGGUGGGUUAGUGUGUGAAUGGGUUGUGAACGAGUGGGUGAGUUAGUGUGUGAAUGAGUGGGUGACUGUGUGAAUGAAUGGGUUAGUGUGUGAAUGAGUGGGUGAGUUAGUGUGUGAACGAGUGGGCGAGUUUGUGAAUGAGUGGGGGAGUUAGUGUGUGAAUGAGUGGGUGAGUUAGUGUGUGAAUGGGUGUGUGAAUGAGUGGGCUAGUGUGUGAAUGAGUGGGUGUGUGAACGAGUGGGUGAGUUAGUGUGUGAAUGAAUGGGUGAGUUUGUGAAUGAGUGGGUGUGUGAACGAGUGGGUGAGUUAGUGUGUGAAUGAAUGGGUUAGUGUGUGAGUGGGUGGGUUAGUGUGUGAAUGGGUGGGUUAGUGUGUGAAUGGAUGAGUUAGUGUGUGAAUGAGUGGGUUAGUGUGUGAAUGAGUCGGGUUAGUGUGUGAAUGACUGGGUGGGUUAGUGUAUGAAUGAGUGUGUGAAUGGGUGAGUUAGUGUGUGAACGAGUGGGCGAGUUAGUGUGUGAAUGGGUGAGUUAGUGUGUGAAUGAGUGGCUGAACG
rnacentral:lncRNA from 10 species